AGAACAUUAAAAAAAUGUAGACAAUAUUAUAAUGGGUAAAGCUUUCAAUGUCUUGUGAUAUUGCUUCGCCUAGGCACACGGAUCCGUGAUUGCCUUAGGCUGCGUUGUUCGCGCGGAAGGCAGAACGUAACUUAACACAUUCCUUUCCGCUCCCUGACAUUUUGUUUGAACCUAUGUAUAGGUAGGUAGAUUGCAUCGUUUUUAGGGUUCCGUAGCCAAAUGGCAAAACACGGAACCCUUAUAGAUUCGUCAUGUCUGUCUGUCUGCCCGUCCGUAUGUCACAGCAACUUUUUUCCGAAACUAUAAGAACUAUACUGUUGAAACUUGGUAAGUAGAUGUAUUCUGUGAACCGCAUUAAGAUAUUCACACAAAAAUAGAAAAAAAAACACUAAAUUUUGGGGGGUUCCCCAUACAUAGAACUGAAUCUCAAAAAUUUUUUUUUCAUCAAACCCAUACGUGUGGGGUAUCUAUGGAUAGGUCUUCAAAAAUGAUAUUGAGGUUUCUAAUAUCAUUUUCUUCUAAACUGAAUAGUUUGCGCGAGAGACACUUCCAAAGUG